ACUCUUCAAGUGUCUUGGGAUGAGUCGGUUUCUCUUUCCCCUCCCUCUUCAAGUCUCUCUCCCUCCUUUCCCUCCCGUCCCACCCUCCUUUUUCCUCCCUCCAUUUCUUUUGAAACACCCUCCGGGAAAUUCUCCCAAACCCGACUCAGCUCUUCCGGCAACCCCGCAGGAGUCUGCUACUCUGGGCCACAACAGGAGCCACCCCCAACUCUUCAGAACCACAUCUCCUCUCCAACACUGCACAGGAACAUCCCCUGGCCAAGAGGUCUCUCCCCAGCCUUCCCACUCGGCUCACCUCGUCCUCAUCCAGCAUGAGAAGCUGGUUCCCCGAGAUGAUGCAGAACCGUGGGUUCCAACCAGGACGAUCAUAUGGGGAAUGAACGUAUUGGGUU